CGGAGCCUUCUUUUCGUAAACCCUACUCCUGCGCCCCUCAAUUCCAUAUCUACUACUUAGUCAAGCCCUUAACUACUUCUAUAUCUUAGAACAACCCUACUCUCUGAUCGACAUUUUAUAGUCUCCAUAUCUAUGGAAAGAGGAAGCUAGGAGAGGAUUCUAAACAAUUCUAUUGAGCUGAACAACAAAAAGAGCUUGGGUACCUCUUAAUGGAUGAACUUCAAAGGGAUGUCGCUCCAUUUCUUCAUGCAUCGGGGGAGGGAGGCGCCCCUUACUGUAGAAGAAGAUCAGCGAACAAAGAUAGUCGACUUACAGGAGAGGAGCGAGUGCUUGUUUAAAACGUACUAACUGAGAGAUUCAUCUAUCCUGACUUUCAAGUCGUGCUUGAUUGAGUGUUAACAAUCGGUUACAGCCAACAUUCGUUAACUAGUGAUGAAGAAGGAAAAUUUAUAUAUAUAUAAUGCAUUUUAAUGGCUGAUCUAGCAUUGAGGUGUUCAGGGGAACCAGAAAGUGGGACUACCCGAAGGCUGGGUCUUCAUUUUCGCAGCCCGGACCGUCUUUCGAUGGGCCGCUGAACCGUCUCUGCCGCAUCCUGUUACUGCCUUUGGAUUAGGCGAUUGCCCGUC
rnacentral:lncRNA from 1 species